GGGGGAACGUCCGGAACGGGCGCUAAUACCGCAUACGUCCUGAGGGAGAAAGUGGGGGAUCUUCGGACCUCACGCUAUCAGAUGAGCCUAGGUCGGAUUAGCUAGUUGGUGGGGUAAAGGCCUACCAAGGCGACGAUCCGUAACUGGUCUGAGAGGAUGAUCAGUCACACUGGAACUGAGACACGGUCCAGACUCCUACGGGAGGCAGCAGUGGGGAAUAUUGGACAAUGGGCGAAAGCCUGAUCCAGCCAUGCCGCGUGUGUGAAGAAGGUCUUCGGAUUGUAAAGCACUUUAAGUUGGGAGGAAGGGCAGUAAGUUAAUACCUUGCUGUUUUGACGUUACCAACAGAAUAAGCACCGGCUAACUUCGUGCCAGCAGCCGCGGUAAUACGAAGGGUGCAAGCGUUAAUCGGAAUUACUGGGCGUAAAGCGCGCGUAGGUGGUUCAGCAAGUUGGAUGUGAAAUCCC
rnacentral:rRNA from 1 species